GGGGCUCGGGCCCUGACUCAGAGGCUUUUUGCUGCUGCCGCUGACUGCUUGGGCCCGCAUUGCUGCCAUCCUCCUCUUCCAGCUGCCCAGCUCCAAGACCUUGGAGACGGAGAGCUGGAGGCGGUAGAAUGAAUGGAGGUGGGUGUGAGCAGCACGUCUUGGAGCAGAUGGGAGACAGCACGAAUGCAUGCACACACUUGGGAAGCCACCUGUCUUAUACACACACGUGUACCGAGACACACGAUGACAUCUCUCCAUCAUCGCACGUACGUGGACUCCUGCUUGAGGUAAACGUGUCAUCAUCUACAGGCACAGGCAUAGACACAAACCCACUCCUGAGACACCUUCGCAUCACACAAAUGUAUAAAGCCAAAGCCAUAACACUCGAAGAGAUAGAGGCCCCCAAUACACAGGUGUGCAAACACACAUUGCUCAGAUCACCCCAACAUCACACGCAGGCACACGUGCAUGCAUGCACACACACGUGGGGCCAGUGGCAGCUCCCUGUACUGGAAAAAGUCUUAGAUUGAGAAUCAGCAACACCACUCAGCAGCUGAGGUGACCCAGCUCAUCCUGAAGCCUCCCCAUCAGGCACUCAGUUUCCUCAUCUGUCAAAUGGGGACAAUAAUCCCCACCCUGUUGUCCUCUGGCGCACUGGUGAGGCACAAAGCAGAAGGAUGAGAAGGCAGAAGGAGGGGGUCUCAGUCACCGAAGGACCUGCUUAGACAGCAGUCACAGGGAUAACGCCACCUACCCAGCAGGGUUGUUGAGAGGAUUAAAUGGGAUAACGUGAGUAAAAUGCUUAACAAGGUACUAGCACAAGCCAGCCUCCUGCACAACUUCCUCCCCUCUUCACAAGGCAGCUUCCAUCCAGCCCACCAUUCAUGCUGCUGGGUGCCUGGGGAAGACAGCCAGACCAGGCUUCUGCUCACAGGUGGACACCAACGGAGGAGCAGGGGCACUUGGACAAGACCCCUCAUGGUCAGAGAAGGUUUUUCUUCCUUGGCGGUCAGAGAUAACGACUGAUCCUUGCUGAAUCCUUCCCGUAUUAUAGUGCCUUUUGGGUUUUAACUCAACGAGUCCUCACAACAACUCUGUGAAGCCCAUGCUAUCAUCAUCUUCAUGUCCCAGAUGAGGAAGGGGAGGGACAGAGAGGGUAGGAAACUUGCCCCAGGUCACAGAGUUGGACUUGAACUCAGGCAUCUGGCUCUUUAGUAUUUUGUAUCCCUGACGAUGGCACUAUACUCUUCACCAGUUUGUGACAAGCUGGUGCGUCAGAGGAGAAUUUAGGUGGAUGGGGGAAGAGGGACAAUUUCAGCACCAACUUGACUUGGCCAGGGAGAAGGGCUAAGUCUCCACGCCCUCUGGCAUGCCUGGUAUAUUUCACAAUUUACUAAGGGUGCACUCUCCCUGUCUACCUGUCUCCACAACCUUCUGAGAUGCUGUAAUCAUUAUCCCCACUGCGUAGGUGAGGAAAUAAAGACCCCAAAAGGUAAAGUGACUUGCCUAAGGCCUCUCAGCUGUGUGUCUGCAUUCCAAACACUCCACAAAGUCUCUCUAGAGGAGACAAAUUCUAUUUUUCAAGGGACCAGGGGGAAUAAUGCUUCCUGUUCAAAUGGGGCUGCCAAAGGGCUGGGAGUGGGAGGGACCCAAAGCCAGGGAUGGGUCCCAGGGCAGAUUCAGGCUUCGGAGAGGGAGGGAGCAGGACUUGAGGAGGUCACAGGGGUGGAAGAAGCCUGCCUUGGUGGAUCCAGCUGAUCCCCCUGGGCUUGGGGAAUGUGACAGGAGCGCAGCAGAGGCAUGUCAGGAACCUCCCGCAGUCUGGCUUCCCCCAGGAUCUGUUGGAGCAAAGAAUUCCCGGUGGCUCCAGGGCUGGGAGGAGAGCGUGCGGCAGGCUCCAGCUUGCAGAGACAGAGAAAGCCUCCCCUGGGUCCAAUUUGAAAGGAGUGGUCUAGUGGUUCUGAGGCAGGCACAGGGGGCAGUAGGAGGCGUGGGACCUGGGCAAGGGUCACAUGCCCCCAUCUACUCUUAGUACUCUGCCCAACUCCACACUCUAGGGCCCUCGACCCCAUAGAGAGUGGGAGCAGGGCUGGGGGAGGGGUGAUCAGGCAGAGGAAGGAACCACUGAAUGGGGGAGCCCCAGUCUGAGGGGGGAGGCCAGUGCUCUGCUCUCUGACAAUCACCAGUCUGAGGGAAGAGUACAAGUCCUGAGGGGUUGGGCAAAACAGCACAGAGAAGGUGAUCACAGGUGGCUUCUAGGCCCAGGGGUUUCCUGAGCAGAGUGGGGGAAGAAUCAUGUCCCAGAAGAAUCAUGUCCUCAGAAGAAUCAUGAUCUGAGGGGGAUAAACCAGAUGCCAUGCUCCAGGCCUCACGAUUUGACCUGUAUGUUACUCAUCAGCUUGAAGUUGGCGGGGGGGUGUGGGUAAGAGAGCGGGGGCCCCAGGCCAGGGGCAUACCUCAGGCUGGCCAAAGGGUUUUCCUUCCAUCUGACCCCCAAUUCAACUGAACUCUGAAAGGGGAUAGUUCAGAGGAAGCCGGGAGGAAUAUAUUCCACAUAUAUUCCACAGAGAGUGGCAUCCUCCCCUGGAAAUGAAGUCAUCUCUCCAUUUUUGGGCCAGAGAGGCUGAAGGCCUGGCACUGUGAAGAGCUGAAUCAGAAACCUUGAUGUUUGGAGGAAGCUUGGGGCCAACUCCUUUCCUUUUUUAGGCUGGCCAGACAUGUCCCCCAGGAUGCCAAUGGGGCUAAGCACCUCGGAGUCAUCAAGCUAUGGGGUUGGAAAGAGCCGCAAACUGUAUCUACUCUGACAGGGGAAGCAGAGCCCUAUACUCAGGGGGCCCCCAAUCUGAUGGGGGACAGGCUCUACCUUAUAGAGCCCUAGACUGGAGUAGAAAGUGGUGGUGGACACAUAUCAACUCCUACACACACAGAGGAUUUGGCAAGAGAAAUUAUCUGAGCCUCCGAGAGGGUAGGUAACCUUGCCACGGUCACACAGGAAGUAGUAGCAGAGCAGUGCUCUCCUCAUUACCCUGUGAUCCCAGGCCCCCCUCCUCCCUCCCUGGGGCCAGAGUUGC
rnacentral:lncRNA from 1 species